AGAGUUUGAUCCUGGCUCAGGACGAACGCUGGCGGCGCGCCUAACACAUGCAAGUCGAACGGAGCUUAAAGAGCUUGCUUUUUAAGCUUAGUGGCGAACGGGUGAGUAACGCGUGAGUAACCUGCCCUGGAGUGGGGGACAACAGUUGGAAACGACUGCUAAUACCGCAUAAGCCCACGGAUCCGCAUGGAUCUGAGGGAAAAGGAUUUAUUCGCUUCAGGAUGGACUCGCGUCCAAUUAGCUAGUUGGUGAGGUAACGGCCCACCAAGGCGACGAUUGGUAGCCGGACUGAGAGGUUGAACGGCCACAUUGGGACUGAGACACGGCCCAGACUCCUACGGGAGGCAGCAGUGGGGGAUAUUGCACAAUGGGGGAAACCCUGAUGCAGCGACGCCGCGUGGAGGAAGAAGGUUUUCGGAUUGUAAACUCCUGUCGUUAGGGACGAUAAUGACGGUACCUAACAAGAAAGCACCGGCUAACUACGUGCCAGCAGCCGCGGUAAAACGUAGGGUGCAAGCGUUGUCCGGAAUUACUGGGUGUAAAGGGAGCGCAGGCGGACCGGCAAGUUGGAAGUGAAAACUAUGGGCUCAACCCAUAAAUUGCUUUCAAAACUGCUGGCCUUGAGUAGUGCAGAGGUAGGUGGAAUUCCCGGUGUAGCGGUGGAAUGCGUAGAUAUCGGGAGGAACACCAGUGGCGAAGGCGACCUACUGGGCACCAACUGACGCUGAGGCUCGAAAGCAUGGGUAGCAAACCAGGAUUAGAUACCCUGGUAGUCCAUGCCGUAAACGAUGAUU
rnacentral:rRNA from 1 species